GGGUCAGUAGGUUGGUCGUGCCACCGGUACGUACUGGUCUCACUGAUUCCUCCUUCCUGAAGAACCGUAAUGCCAUUAAUUUGGUGUCGCGGGGAAACAGGACUGUUACUUUGAAAAAAUUAGAGUGUUUAAAGCAAGCUAACGCUUGAAUACAUUAGCAUGGAAUAAUGAAAUAGGACGAUCGAUCCUAUUUUGUUGGUUUCUAGGAUUGACGUA
rnacentral:rRNA from 1 species